rnacentral:tRNA from 1 species
GCGGGUGUAGUUCAUCGGUAGAACGCGAGCUUCCCAAGCUUGAGAGGAGGGUUCGACUCCCUUCAUCCGCUCCA